UUUUCAAAGUGAAUUUAAAGUGAGUUUGAAGUUUGACCUUUUCUUUAUUAUUUUAAUUCAAGUUUUAUGUUAAUAUUAAAAAAUGCCAAAAAUAUUUUAUUUGUUUCUUGACUUCUAAUUCUCAUUUUGCUUCUGUUUUCUAUCAUUUGACCUUGAUCUUCUCUAUCUUUGGUCAAUGCUUGUUGAUUAAUACAUACCAUUUCCAUUAAU
rnacentral:lncRNA from 1 species